rnacentral:rRNA from 1 species
UACGAAGGGGGCUAGCGUUGCUCGGAAUCACUGGGCGUAAAGCGCACGUAGGCGGAUCUUUAAGUCAGGGGUGAAAUCCUGGAGCUCAACUCCAGAACUGCCUUUGAUACUGAGGAUCUUGAGUUCGGGAGAGGUGAGUGGAACUGCGAGUGUAGAAGUGAAAUUCGUAGAUAUUCGCAAGAACACCAGUGGCGAAGGCGGCUCACUGGCCCGAUACUGACGCUGAUGCACGAAAGCGUGGGGAGCAAACAGG